rnacentral:rRNA from 2 species
UACGGAGGGGGCAAGCGUUGUUCGGAAUUACUGGGCGUAAAGGGCGCGUAGGCGGAACAUUAAGUUAGGGGUGAAAGGCCUGGGCUCAACCUGGGAACGGCCUCUAAGACUGAUGAUCUGGAGUCCGGAAGAGGAUGGCGGAAUUCCCAGUGUAGAGGUGAAAUUCGUAGAUAUUGGGAAGAACACCGGUGGCGAAGGCGGCCAUCUGGUCCGGCACUGACGCUGAGGCGCGAAAGCGUGGGGAGCAAACAGG